CGCCGGCGACCGAAUGCUUCCUUUGCCAAGAUGGCGCCGGGAGGCAGUGGCCGUGGCAGCACGCCGUGCUUGAAAAGCGAGGCCGAUUCUGGCUUCCUGGGCUUCCGUCCCACUUCGGUGGACCCGGCGCUGAGGCGGCGUCGGCGAGGCCCAAGAAACAGGAAACGAGGCUGGCGACGGCUCGCCCAGGAGCCGCUGGGGCUGGAAGUUGACCAGUUCCUGGAGGACGUGCGGCUGCAGGAGCGCACGAGCGGUGGCUUGAUAUCAGAGGCCCCGGAUGAGAAACUCUUCUUCGUGGACACCGGCUCCAAGAAAAAGGCCCCAGAGCUGAAGAAGAGGACCAAAAGCCAGAAAAGAUCACUUCUUCUCAAGAAACCUCUUCGUGUUGACCUCAUCCUAGAGAACACAUCCAAGGUUCCUGCCCCCAAAGACGUCCUCGCUCACCAGGUCCCCAAUGCCAAGAAGCUCAAACGGAAGGAGCAGCUAUGGGAGAAGCUGGCCAAGCAGGGCGAGCUGCCCCGGGAGGUGCGCAGGGCACAGGCCCGGCUUCUCAACCCUCCCGCUACCAAAGCCAAGCCCGGGCCCCAAGACACCGUCGAGCGGCCUUUCUAUGAUCUCUGGGCCAAAGACAACCCUCUGGAGCGGCCCCUGGCUGGCCAGGAUGCCUUUUUCCUGGAGCAGACCAAGAAGAAAGGGGUGAAGCGGCCGCCGCGUCUGCACACCAAGCCUUCCCAGGUCCCUGCCGUGGAGGUGACACCGGCUGGAGCCUCCUACAACCCGUCCUUCGAGGACCACCAGACCCUGCUGCGGGCGGCCCACGAGGUCGAACUGCAGCGGCAGAAGGAGGCGGAGAAGCUGGAAAGGCGGCUGGCGCUGCCCGCCUCGGAGCAGCCUGCCACCCAGGAGUCUGCGUUCCAGGAGCUGUGUCAGGGGCUGCUGGAGGAGUCAGACGGGGAGGGGGAGCCAGGUGAGGGCCAGGAUACGGGGCCCGAGGCUGGAGGGGAGCCGGCUGAAGGAGUGGAGGCCUCCCCAGCACCCAUGCGGCUGGCUGCAGCGGAGAAGAAGACCGAGCAACAGCGGCGGCGGGAGAAGGCUGCACGGAAGAUGCGGGUACAGCAGGCCGAGGUGCGGGCAGCCCGGCUCCGGCACCAGGAGCUCUUCAGGCUACGUGGGAUCAAGGCCCAGGUGGCACGGCGGCUGGCGGAGCUGGCGCGGAGGCGGGAGCGGCGGCAGGCACAGCGGCUGGCCGAGGCGGACAGACCCCGCAGGCUGGGGCGGCUCAAAUACCAGGCCCCCGACAUCGACGUGCAGCUCAGCUCGGAGCUGUCUGACUCGCUCAGGACCCUGAAGCCUCCAUCCCGCUGGUGCUGCGGACCUAGCCCAGGAGUCCCUCCACAUCACCCCACCAGCCCAGGGUCAGGAUGGGCCCCCCCAACUGAGGCCUCCCUCUCUGUGUCCCGCAGCCGGAAGGCAACAUUCUCCGCGACCGUUUCAAGAGCUUCCAGAAGAGAAACAUGAUCGAGCCCCGGGAGAGAGCCAAGUUCAAGCGCAAGUACAAAGUGAAGCUUGUGGAGAAGCGCGCGUUCCGCGAGAUCCAGUAACAAAGGCCCACAUUCCUGCUGUGUCAUUGACCCCAUGCACGGAGGUACCGCAGCACCGUGUGUUGCUUGGAGCCUUUGUGUUCCAGUCCAGCCCGUCCCUCUUCUGCGGAAGUAACUGUCACCGCAGUUCAGGCUGAACGAUUCUGGUAUGUCCCAUGUGUGAGUUCAUUGAACUCUAUACGUGUACAUGGAAACAUCGAACAAACGGCUUUUUAAUCUUUCUAUGUUUUGGAAAUGAUCACACUGUAA